rnacentral:rRNA from 1 species
GAUGAACGCUAGCGGGAGGCUUAACACAUGCAAGUCGAGGGGCAGCACGAGGUAGCAAUACUUUGGUGGCGACCGGCAGACGGGUGAGUAACGCGUAUGCAACCUACCCUGUACUGGGGGAUAACCCGGAGAAAUUCGGACUAAUACCCCAUAGAAAUAUUGAGAGGCAUCUUGAGAUAUUUAAAGUUUCGGCGGUACGGGAUGGGCAUGCGUAACAUUAGCUAGUUGGUAAGGUAACGGCUUACCAAGGCUUUGAUGUUUAGGGGUCCUGAGAGGGUGAUCCCCCACACUGGUACUGAGACACGGACCAGACUCCUACGGGAGGCAGCAGUGAGGAAUAUUGGUCAAUGGGCGCAAGCCUGAACCAGCCAUCCCGCGUGCAGGAAGACGGCCCUAUGGGUUGUAAACUGCUUUUCCAGGAGGAGAAA